rnacentral:rRNA from 1 species
UACGAAGGGGGCUAGCGUUGCUCGGAAUCACUGGGCGUAAAGGGUGCGUAGGCGGGUCUUUAAGUCAGGGGUGAAAUCCUGGAGCUCAACUCCAGAACUGCCUUUGAUACUGAGGAUCUUGAGUUCGGGAGAGGUGAGUGGAACUGCGAGUGUAGAGGUGAAAUUCGUAGAUAUUCGCAAGAACACCAGUGGCGAAGGCGGCUCACUGGCCCGGUACUGACGCUGAGGUGCGAAAGCGU